GAUCAACCACUGGAAAUUAAGUUGUUGAUCAUAAUUAUACUUAUCGACAUCUACAGAGUUGUAUCGCUUUUGAAUGUUUGUGAGGUGAAAAACAGUGAGGUUCACAAAAUCGGAGAUACGUGGAAAUUUUCUUUUUUUUUAGUCGGUAACUUUUGACAAGGAGUUUAUGCGGCUUUCAUAGCUCUCUUUGUGUCUCUCUAUGAAUCAAUGGUUUAAUCAUAUUACGUGUUUCCGUCGUCAAUUUGUUGAGGCCUGUGCGUCUUCGAAGACGUAUCACAGCGCGGAGUCCCCUAUCUCAUUCCAUCCACCGCAGGUUCGGUGGAAGGAUAUACAGUCAACCAAUUUAAUUCCUAGGACACUAUAGAACCAUGCCAUAAUGACUUCUACGACAGUGCUUAUUGAGUGAUGCGUGUCAAGUAUCAGUAGUUAAAGCGACAAGGUUCUAUAGUGGCCUAGGAUUUAAAUUGGUUGACUGUACAUAGAAGUCAGAACGAACAAAAAAUAACUAAAUAUUACUUAGUUUAAAUAGUGCGAAAAUUGCUUGAGCAUCGGCAUGGUGUAGACUGUACAGUGGAGUGAGUCAUCCUUAAUGCGUACCGUUACUUGCAAUAUCCAUAAAAGGACUGAUCCACGCUAUAGCCCCAUACUACAAAACUACUAAGUUUUGGACCAUGUAUGUACUUAGGCGCGCUACACCGCACAUACAUAAAUUAAACAACGGUUCAAUGUACAUAUUUAUUUAUUUAAAUGGACUGAUCUCAUCAAUCACAGCUAACCUAUUUUAAGUCGUUCCUUCGCAAUAAGAAAGCUAGUUUCAAUUCGCUUAUGAAUUAUUAAUCUUUCUACCAGCUGAAGCAUCAAUGUCUAUGAAACGUGUGUUUUAUUUGUAUUUUAAAACUAUAAGGAGGGUAAUAGUCGAUGUGUGUAUGUGUAUGCAUAUUGUAAUAGUUGGUAUUUUAUCGCGUUAAUUACAUAGUUAUCACUUUUUGAAAGUGUUAAUGCAUCAACCUACCCGCCUAAGUGCAUAAUGCGCAUGUGCACGUACGCACAUGUUCUUAAUAUUGCAACAAAUUGUGAUCAUCUUUAAUAGGUGAGCUGAACAUACCUAUUUUAAGGUUACAUGAUUCCCGUUAAGUAUUGAACCGAUUUGAAUAUAUACCUACUUAAUCAUAUAACUUAUUUUCAUAUUCUAGAUCCAAACAAACUCUCACUAUUUCUAAAUGAUGUAUCUUAAUUACGCGAGAGAUCGCUUUUUGACGAUAAGACCGCCUGUUGUUACCUGGUUAGUUUUUCUUUAAAAUUUAUUUGUAGUUUUACAUGUAUGUAAAAAGUAUAAUUAUUGGUACAAUAAAGAAUAUUUAGUUACGUGUAUAAAAUAUCCGAAAAACAAGGUAUUUUUUGAAUGACAUUUUAUUUACAAUAACAAUUUACAUAAUGGAUAUACACAGAGGAUUACUAUAACUAGCUUAAAUCUAAAAUAGGCCCCUGAGGCACUAUUACAAGUUAAUUGAUUACAUAGUUUGGCAAAUAAAAUUUAAAAACCGAUAUUAUUUUUUUCGCAAACAGUAAACAUUGAGGACAUGAUAUAACUAAUAAUAAUACAAAUAAACGUGCAUAAGAAUAUUUGAAUUUCAGCCAGAGGCGAUUUUACUAUGACAAUCUAGCUAGGCCCUUAUGUUUCAUUUUGUUUGGAAAUAACCCACAAUAAUAAAAUUUUCAUUCAAGAAAUACCUAUCAAUAGUACAAUGAGAAAAAAAAACAUUUACAAUUUAUUUUGGGUACGAAUCCAACCGAAUAAAGGUGACAGUCCAUUUCCAACUGCAGCUGCACUACCGUUGCGACAUUACUGGUGCGACAUUACUGCAGCGGCCGACUGCUGCUGUUUGCGGCGUGCAGUCGCGGCAGCGUUCGUCAGUUGAUUGCCAAAGUCAAUGAAUAAUGUCACUGUCAGACGUAUAAAUAAAAUUACUAAUUUACUUAUUUGUAUUUUUUACGAGAAGAAGUAAGUGACGAUAAUGCUACAUGGUACACGAAAACGAAAAACAGUUUGCCUUUCUACAAAAGUCACAUUCAGUCGAAGGCAGCUACGCAAUAUUAUUAAAAAACCAGAUAUUGUUGGUGAUCGUUUGUUUGCCGAUUAAAUGAAUAACAAUUUAACUUCAAAUUGAAGAAAUACAACCAAAUUACUCAAAUUAAAUGAAUGCAGAGGAGAAAUAUUUCUUCACUUAAGGUGUCCAUGGGUGACGGCACUCGUGGUCGUGGCAGAUACAGUGUAUGACUAGACCAUAUAAAACUUGAUGGGCGAGACAAGAAAUCCUUUAUGAAGAAAGCUAUUUACGUUAGCCAAGGGGCUGAUAGAAAGAAUAUUUAAUAAAUUAAUUGGAAUAAUAAAUAUUUUCCUCGUGAUGGUGUGAUAAAAUAAAUUCGUGUUGCGCUCUGUAGCAAAGUUUGUUUAACCCUCAUGCCUUGAAGUCCCCGCAACUGUCAAUACAAUUUUAUUUUAAAACCGCUGUCGCUUCUCUUGUGGUUCAAUUUUGUAAUUUUUCUUACGUUUGAGUAUCCAUAUGCUACCAUGAGGUGUUAAACAACAACUUUGCCUUUUGUAUUUCUAGGUAAUACAACUGAAUUAUUGCUUCUUUUAUCUCAAAAAUGGCUUUGAAAUGACAAAGUGAGAAAGUGUCACGAUAUUAUACACCGUGGGCUGGUAAAACCUGAUAGUUUUAAAGUUGUAUUCGUAAUCGCAUUUAGAGGCUAAAAUAUCAUACAAAUUUUCUGUAAUCGGACUUCUUUCAGAGAUAAUGGCAAUUCUUGCGAAAAUUUGUUUCUGCUAUAACUUUGUGAAAAACGCCUUUUUCGCUGCGGCACUGCCUUUAUAUGACUUGGUUUAGUCAUACCUUUUGACAAACAUUACUCAACUAAAAAGAACACUCGCAAUUUUGAUCUAUAGAUGAAUUAAGAAAACUUUACAUCUUCGUUGUAAUGUUUUUUUUUUUCGCCAAGAUGUAGAAAGAAAUAACGUGCUGUGUGCAGAAAAUGGCUUUUAAAUCGGCUAAAAAAAAAACAGAACAUUUUUUUCCGAAUUUUACUAAACAUUUUUUGAUCCUCAGGAAUGCGUGGUUAAGAUCUGUCGGAUUUUACCAACCCACGGUGUAUAUAAUAUGAUAUUACGACACUU